AUUGAACGCUGGCGGCAGGCCUAACACAUGCAAGUCGAACGAGUGGCGGACGGGUGAGUAAUGCAUGGGAAACUGCCAGAUGGAGGGGGAUAACUACGGGAAACGGUAGCUAAUACAGCCUACCAUCGGAUGUGCCCAGAUGGGAUUAGCUAGUAGGUGGGGUAAAGGCUCACCAAGGCGGCGAACCCUAGCUGGUCUGAGAGGAUGACCAGCCACACUGGAACUGAGACACGGUCCAGACUCCUACGGGAGGCAGCAGUGGGGAAUAUUGCGCAAUGGGCGCAAGCCUGAUGCAGCCAUGCCGCGUGUAUGAAGAAGGCCUUCGGGUUGUAAAGUACUUUCAGCCGGGAGGCGUUACCCGCAGAAGAAGCACCUGCUAACUCCGUGCCAGCAGCCGCGGUAAUUC
rnacentral:rRNA from 1 species